rfam:Flavobacterium hibernum strain DSM 12611 Contig08, whole genome shotgun sequence.
UUAAAAGCUUUUUUUAAAGCUCCCAACAUCAAAUUAUUAGUGUUUU